rfam:Otolemur garnettii contig053686, whole genome shotgun sequence.
GCUGAGCAUGGUGGCACGUGCCUGUAGUCCCAGUUACUCAGGAGGCUAAGGCAGGAGGAUCACUUGAGCCUAGGAGUUGAGAGCCAUAGCGUGCUAUGACCAUUGGGUGUCCCUACUAAGUUUGGCAUUAAUGACCUCCCUGAACCAGAACCAAGAGGUUGCCUAAGAAGAGGUGAAAUGGCCAAGAUUGAAAACAGAGCAAGACAAAAUUCCCAUGGUGAUCAGUAGUGAGAUCAUACCUGUGCAUAGCUACUGCACUCCAGCUUGAGCAAUGUAGUGAGAUCCUGUUUCUU